rnacentral:rRNA from 1 species
GUAGUCAUAUGCUUGUCUCAAAGAUUAAGCCAUGCAUGUCUAAGUAUAAGCAAUUAUACAGCGAAACUGCGAAUGGCUCAUUAUAUAAGUUAUCGUUUAUUUGAUAGUACCUUACUACUUGGAUAACCGUGGUAAUUCUAGAGCUAAUACAUGCUAAAAAUCCCGACUUCGGAAGGGAUGUAUUUAUUAGAUUAAAAACCAAUGCCCUCUGGGCUCUCUGGUGAUUCAUGAUAACUUCUCGAAUCGCAUGGCCUUGCGCCGGCGAUGGUUCAUUCAAAUUUCUUCCCUAUCAACUUUCGAUGUUUGGGUAGUGGCCAAACAUGGUUGCAACGGGUAACGGAGGGUUAGGGCUCGACCCCGGAGAAGGAGCCUGAGAAACGGCUACUACAUCCAAGGAAGGCAGCAGGCGCGCAAAUUACCCAAUCCCGACACGGGGAGGUAGUGACAAUAAAUACUGAUACAGGGCUCUUUUGGGUCUUGUAAUUGGAAUGAGUACAAUUUAAAUCCCUUAACGAGGAACAAUUGGAGGGCAAGUCUGGUGCCAGCAGCCGCGGUAAUUCCAGCUCCAAUAGCGUAUAUUAAAGUUGUUGUGGUUAAAAAGCUCGUAGUUGAACCUUGGGCCUGGCUGGCCGGUCCGCCUCACCGCGUGUACUGGUCCGGCCGGGCCUUUCCCUCUGUGGAACCCCAUGCCCUUCACUGGGUGUGGCGGGGAAACAGGACUUUUACUUUGAAAAAAUUAGAGUGCUCCAGGCAGGCCUAUGCUCGAAUACAUUAGCAUGGAAUAAUGAAAUAGGACGUGCGGUUCUAUUUUGUUGGUUUCUAGGACCGCCGUAAUGAUUAAUAGGGACAGUCGGGGGCAUCAGUAUUCAAUUGUCAGAGGUGAAAUUCUUGGAUUUAUUGAAGACUAACUACUGCGAAAGCAUUUGCCAAGGAUGUUUUCAUUAAUCAGGAACGAAAGUUAGGGGAUCGAAGACGAUCAGAUACCGUCGUAGUCUUAACCAUAAACUAUGCCGACUAGGGAUCGGACGAUGUUAUUUUUUGACUCGUUCGGCACCUUACGAGAAAUCAAAGUGCUUGGGCUCCAGGGGGAGUAUGGUCGCAAGGCUGAAACUUAAAGAAAUUGACGGAAGGGCACCACCAGGGGUGGAGCCUGCGGCUUAAUUUGACUCAACACGGGGAAACUCACCAGGUCCAGACACAAUGAGGAUUGACAGAUUGAGAGCUCUUUCUUGAUUUUGUGGGUGGUGGUGCAUGGCCCGUUCUUAGUUGGUGGAGUGAUUUGUCUGCUUAAUUGCGAUAACGAACGAGACCUUAACCUGCUAAAUAGCCCGUAUUGCUUUGGCAGUACGCUGGCUUCUUAGAGGGACUAUCGGCUCAAGCCGAUGGAAGUUUGAGGCAAUAACAGGUCUGUGAUGCCCCUAGAUGUUCUGGGCCGCACGCGCGCUACACUGACGGAGCCAGCGAGUACUCCCUUGGCCGGAAGGCCCGGGUAAUCUUGUUAAACUCCGUCGUGCUGGGGAUAGAGCAUUGCAAUUGAUUGCUCUUCAACGAGGAAUCCCUA